rnacentral:rRNA from 1 species
CUGAAGAGUUUGAUCAUGGCUCAGAUUGAACGCUGGCGGCAGGCCUAACACAUGCAAGUCGAGCGCGAAAGGUUUUCGGACUGAGUAGAGCGGCGGACGGGUGAGUAACGCGUAGGAAUCAACCCAGUAGUGGGGGACAACUCGGGGAAACUCGAGCUAAUACCGCAUACGCCCUACGGGGGAAAGCGGGGGAUCUUCGGACCUCGCGCUAUUGGAUGAGCCUGCGUUGGAUUAGCUAGUUGGUGGGGUAAAGGCCUACCAAGGCGACGAUCCAUAGCUGGUCUGAGAGGAUGACCAGCCACAUUGGGACUGAGACACGGCCCAGAC